AAUGUUGUGAAAACCUCAAAUUCUAAAAAUUAUUUUUUGGUUUAUGUUUAAACUGUAAUACUGAUUUUGAUCUUAUUAUUUACAGUAACAAUUGAAAUAUGACAGAUGUGUUCAGUGUGAUAUCUUAUAUCUGUGACAUAGAAAAAAAUUUAUUUUGUGUAAAAAUGUGAUAAUUUCUUGUCUUUUACUGGCAGAUGUUGCCUGCAGUUAUCAGUUGCACUAUCAUUCAUGUACACACACAAAACACUAAAAACAAUUCAAAUUGUUAUUUUUUAUUUUUGUUUUAGCUGAAUUUCCCAUUCUUGCACUCUGCUGCACUUUCUCUCAAGUUUCUGUUUCUGUUUUACAUAUUCUUCGUCUCAUAGUGUUUUAGGAGCUGCCCUCUUAGUUUGCUUCAUUGAAUGGUGAAGGAACAGUAUGUGGAUGUACAAAGAAUGGCCAUCUCUUGAGGCUUUCUUAUUCUGUUACCCUGCUUUUAUAUAAAUCUUUUUUAUUACAAUUUUUGUGAUGCAUUGGAACGUAGGUUUUAUGAAGGAACUACGUUGAUAAUUUAAUUAAUUAACGUAGAAGAUGGAAUAUAAUUUUGGGAAAUCUUGAGGAAAAUUAUGUGAAGUAAUUUGAGUUUUCAUAAGAUAAUGCUUAUUUAGAGAGUUAUUAAAGUUAAUUGAAUGUAAUUUCUAGAAAAUGCUGCUUGUAAGUUACUAAGAUAUUAGAUACAAGCAGGGCUCAAAAUUUAGGCAUCAGCAUUUAAGGAGUUAAUUUUUAUGGUUAUACUAACAUCUUUCUCCAAUUUUAUACAUGAUUUGUACUUGUGAAACACAACCAUAAAUAUGAAAACAGCUACUGAUGAUUCUGAUACAUUUAGCGGGGUCUCUAACUAAACAAGAAUUUUGUUGGUUCAUAUCACAGUAAAAGGAAAGUGUAUGUAUCCCCAUAUCUUACAAACUAACCCAGUUAAAACAGAUAGGACAGAUUUUCAAAGCAUGCGAACAGAAAACUACCAGAAUUGCCACCCAUGUGAUGAACUGCAUUUUAAGAAUUGGGACAAACAUGGUAGGCUCUUCUUGGGAUGUCUCAUUUCCAUGACUUCUGGUGACAAGAAGUCAUGCAACAAUAAAACUAGCUACAGAGUUGGAAUUUUGAGCCCUGCAUAUGGGGAUUAUUUAAGUCUGUUAUAUAAUUACAUGCUAAAAUAUUUACUUGCAAUAGUAUAUCCCUCAGUUUUGGCUUCUUCUAUUUUUGUUCUAUUAUUUAUUUUAUUCUGUAUGUCUCAUCCAGAGCCUCCUUUGAGCACUUUGUGCGUGUAAGCCGGGCUGAACGUAGGCGCGCGGAGAAGUUGGUUGGUGGGGGAAGUCUGGGUCGGAGCUUCUCUCGCUCUUGUGCGGGCAGUUUGGCCGGGGAGGGCGGCGCCAUGAUGCAGGCGGCGGCCCCCGUACAACAACUCGCAGGAAACGAGCAAGAGAAGGAACGCCGACGUGCUAGUCUCAGAGGAUCACUGAGUCGAGUCUUAGGGCUAAAGCUCCGACAAGAUUCACACUCAUCCAGACAAGAAAGGGAUAGAGAUAACCGAGAUCGUGACUCACAAACUAGCAGUAGCAGCAACAACUACUAUGUUGCAUCUCCUUCCUCCUCAUCAGAGAACAGUUCCUCAGUCAUUAACUUCAGUUGUCGAUACUCCCCGCCACCCUAUCAUGGACGGGAAUUAUCACCAACAAGAGUUGGGGAUCACUGCCGACACCCUCCGACAAGGGUGAAGAAGAGACACCAUCAUCGGCGUGUCAAGUCUAUAGGUGACAUAGAUGCAGUAACUAUCACGCCUGUGUAACUGGGCCUAUAAAUUAGCCUUAUUGAGAGCCUAAGGUGGGAAUUAUAUGGUCAUAUUUUCAUACCUGCAAUAUACAUUUUCACUCUGGAAAACACUAAAAUUGUCACAUGUAUUUUAUAAACAAUACACUUUUUAAAAUAUUUUUAUUGUGUUAAAAUAUUCACAACCAAUGAUGGCUGCUACUACUCAAGGGAGGACUCUCUUACAAUGUCAAUGAUAGUUACUCAUAAAAAAAUUUUGACUGGACAACCCUGUACUAGUUCUUACAUCCACCAAACAUCAAUGAUUCUAAUGAUUCAGCUGAGGAUGUCUAUCUUCUUUCUAACUUUUUGUAGUUUUUCCCAUACCACAACUGUUUUGUUAUGUAUUUAUACAUUCUUUAAGUAAUUAUUCUUCUAUAUGUAAUUUGGGUUUACAAAACUUCUGCAACUGAUACAAUGGUGUUAAAUAACCUCUGCAACAGUGGGAUUAUCAAACUGUGUGAACAACAAGGUAAGAGAAGAAGAUGGGAAAUGUAACAGUGUCAGCCUUGAAGGUAGAGUCGUCAUUAGUUGAUUACAAUACAGUACAGUUUAACUGCAUGGGUGCUUAUUUCAUAAACCUUAUGUCAUCUGCACAUUGUGAUGUUUCAGUAACCCUAACGUCUAUUACUCUGUCUUAAAGUUUAAAAUUGUUGUAAUUUUACCUAAGUUUACUGCAGGUUUUUCCAGUGGUCAAGAAGUCUGAAAAUUACCAAGACAGGGAAUGAUCAUAUAAUUCCUGCAGGUCAUUGUAAGUUCUGAGAACUUAUUUCCUAAGCAAAUUGUUUGGACAAAAUUUGCACAGUUUUAAUUACAGAUAAGUCUUGUAAAGUAAACUGUAUAGUCCUUACUUUAUUAAAUAAAACGUAUAGACUCAGAGCAGUAAAAAUUGAAUAAAUUUUUAUAGUCAGUAUUAUUAGCUGAGCAAAUAGAAGAAGUUUGACAGUCCCAUAGAUGUUUCUGUGUUUCUUUGGUUACUAGAUCCACUUUUAAUGUAACAGCACUUCUUCUUUUAUUCCAACAAAUGUUUACCAACUGGUCACCCACAAAACAUUUCUAGUUCACAACUCUACUUGACAUUGUGCACAUGUACCCAUGUACAUGAGCCCUCGGGCUCCAUGUAGAGUAGGAAAUUUCUUGACAAGCUGAACAUAUUAUCAGCUUUUUAAGAACUCUGCUCCAUGGGGCUAGUUAUGUUUUAAUAUAAUUCUGAGGAAUAAAUAGUUUGUGCUGAACGUUAUUCUGUAUAAAGAGGUUUGAAUAGGCCUAAGUCAAUUACAUAAACUGAAGUCAAUUAUAAUUACAUUUGUUUCCUUUGCAUACCAGCAUGACAGUAUGGGAAAUUGUUCACAAGAGAAACUAUUUUAUGUAUCCUUAUGAAUAAUUUUUAACUGUGAAUAUUCAGUUUUGGACAUUCUUCAUUUCAUCAUCACAAACUAUACACAGUUUGACUUACUUGUGUGUUCAUAACUCUCUCUAUGUAGUUGUACUCAGAAAAAGCAUUGCACAUUUUGUGUGGUUCAUAACUGAGAAAGGAAUCGUUAUUUUAAAUUAACAAAUCUUGAAAGACUAUGGAAGAUAUUGCUCAGGUAUCAGAAAUAAGAAAGCAAGAAGGCAAGUUCUGUGGUUAUGAAUUUGGAGUCCCCUAGUAAAAUUACAGUAUCCUCCUGUGGCACUAGGGGAAAGCAUAUUGCCAUUACACAGGGGAAAUCCUCAGUGGACUGAGGCAUUUAAUAUAUGGCAGAAGGUGGAAGUUCAAUUCCUGAUUGAAAUGGCAGUAUUGUUCAGUCAGACCCUCUCUGUCCCCACAAGAGAAAGUAGGUUGCAUAUUGUUACAUAUUGUGUUUAAGACAAGUAUUCCUAACAUAAGAAAGAUGGAAAUGGCUCAGCUAAUAAUGUGACAGGCUUUGGACUGCUUUGAACUGGAUGGCCAGAAUUUGAUUCUUAGUUGGAUCUUUUGAAGCUAGUGCUCUUUUUCUGAAACAAGUCAGAAGGACCAUGAUUUUGACAACUCAUCUUCAUUCAUUUCUGAAAGUAAGCAUGUAUGUAUGUCCCCGUCAUCAGGGUGGGGACUGAGAUAGUUCCCAAAAUGUUGGUUGCUUUGUGUACCCAAUUAACGUAGAUGAUUGCCUGAAAAGAUUUUAUUGAGUUCAGUUGCCACAAAAGCUUCAAGUCUUAAAUGAAAGCUUAAUUUUAAUGUUUGCUAAGUAUUGAAAACUAUAUCAGUAUGUAGCAACACAUUAUAGAAAAAUCUGCAUCAUUUUAUAGAAAUGAGUGUCAAACUGUAACCCUUUCACUGUUAUGGGGAAACUGUUUACCAAGUAUAUAGAAAAAAAGAAAUAUUUAAAAAUAUUCUGCACACAAAUUGAGUUUUAAAGGUAACAUAGUUGUGUGUGUAUGUGUGUGUUUGUGCAUUUACAUACAGAGGGGAUCCACUGCUUUGAAAUCCAAAUUGUGACAGUCUGGUGACUAUUGGCUGAUGACAGUGAAACAGUUACUUUGAUACAGCUUGCAAAUCUUGUCCAUUCUCUGUAUUUUUUGGAGUCAGCUGUUUUUAUUAUAAUACCAGUUUCUCUAUUCAUCAUUUAUAACUAAGUGUAUUAUAUAUGUGUAUAUGUGACUGUGCAAUAAGGAAUUAGUUUUGAAAUUUUAUGUACUGAAGGAGCAGUAUAUAUUUUAGUCUGUUAUCAAUACCACCGAGUCACAUAACAGUUAUAGUGAUUUCUUUGAAACAUCAUUAAUCAGAUUCUACAAGUAAUCCAAUUCAUAUGCAACCACAGUUAUUAAUUUGAUGUUCAUAUUCAUGUCGGUGUUUAACAUAACAGAAAAUUCUCCCAGAACAAGGAAUACUUUGUACAUUUCGGAACUCAAACAUGGUAACACAGAGGUUCUGAUUUAUAUUGUGGCAUUAAGCAAAGUUACUAGAUGUACUCACCCACUUGCCACAGGGCAGUUAAUGGAGACCAGUGUCAAGAAGAUUUUUAGUUUUAAGCUGUAUGCAUGUUGAAUGAUUUUUAUUAUGUGGUUAGUAGAUUUUAGUAGCAUUUAUGGUGCACUAUACAGAGCCUACAGAUAUUCUGAUUAAACCAAUAUUAUGGAAAAUGUCUGAGUUUAGUUACUUGUUUAUUUUAUUUUAGUGUAUUUAACAGUGCUGUGUCUAGUGUAUAAGUCAUAUAGCAAUGGAUGAUAAGAUAAUUAUGAAUAAUGAAUUAUUAAGAGAGUGGAAGGAAAUGAUCAUGUGUCUUUUAGGUACAACUUUUAGCAUUUGAAUAUAGCCUAAAGACAUUUUCAGAAAACAUCAUGGUGGCCAGAAGUCUGUAGAUAUAGUAAGUUUUGUAAUAUAUUGGCAUCUGCAUAAACUAACGCCCUUGUGUCCUUAUACACUGAUUAAAGGAAAGUCAAUUUUCAUGACCAGUGAUAAAUAUGUUCAGUGUAUCACAGCAAUUGCCAGGACAGUCUACAGAAAACAGCACUUCUAUAACUUAGCCAAACAGGUCACUGUAAUCAGUAAAGAGACAUCAUUUUUGGGUUAAAAUUCCCAGCAGACAUAUUUGGAAGAUCGUAAAUCAGUACCUCUGUUGUUAUGAAACAAAAGAUUUUUUUACACAGUCUGUUGUACUGUACAAUGCAUGUUGGUUAUCAUCAUACUGUAUCAUGUGAAACAAAAUAUGUUUUUCCUAGAACAAUGUAAAGUUCAUUGUGUCCAGAGCUGCAUCACAUUUCUUGGCUAAUAUAUGCUAGUGUUAGGAAAGUAAUAAAAAUUAAAUCUUAUGAAGAAGAAAAAACUACGAUAAUAAAAAUGAAAUCAAAACCAUCAUUUUGUGAGAAGUCAGCAAUAAUGCAAUUUCAUAAAAAUAGCCUCUGUAAUUUUUUAAAAUAAUUUUGACUCAAAUUGCUUCAUGUUACCCAUGGAAUUUACAUACCCUCUAGAGGUAAGUUCCCCAUAGGUUAACGGCAAGGAUGCUACUGCUUUCUUGUAGUUAACGUUAUAUAAGCUCAGAAAUAAAAGAAAAACUUUUGUCAAAAUGCAACUUUUAAUAUGGCAAAUCACUAUUAGAUUGGCCAUUCAUGAGCUAGAUUAUGAGAUGAUACAGCAGACUGUGUAAACAGUCAAAAUAAGGGAGAUCCAUUUGUAAACCCAAGCAACAUAUAAAAAUAAGAGUUUAUAAUAAAUUUAUUAACAUAUAUUAUUGCAUAUAAGCUCAAUAAGAUGUAAUGUAUAUUCAAAUUGAAAUGUGCAGAUAUGAGUGAAACAUGUCUAUAGCGUUUUAUAAUGACUAAACAUUGUUAAAAUUAUAUAUUGAUGUCUAUAGUAACUCAGAACUUGUGUGAGUGGGUACAUAAAAAGUAUUCCUCCUCUGCAUUUUGCCAAAAUCUUUAAUGUGAUCUAUAUACAUAAAAUAUGAAAUCAGUUUACGAUUGACCCAUAUCAGCUCAUGUUACAAAAUGCAUUAUAUGAGGUUUUGAGAAAUUCCCCAAUUCAUAGUCACCAACAUGUACUCUUCACUAUAGUGAGUUGAGACAGUAAUUUAUAUACCUGGUCUGACUUCUCAGUAUCCUUUCUACUACUACAUGUAACUAUUAACCCCCAUACCUACAGUAUGUCCAGCAUUAAGAUUAGAUUGUUGUCUUGUGGACUGUUACUUGCAAUGGUGUCACCUGUCAGGAUUUCCAUUUCAGUUUUCAAACAAUGGGCUGUGUUGUGCAAGGGCAGAUCAUGAAAACCUGGAACUGAAUUCUUUUUGUGAAAACAGAGGGUCAUAUACAUUAAUGAAAUGUAUCCCCUUCAAAGUACUGUAGUCUCCUACUGAUAAAACGCUAUAGUUUGAGCAGUCAUGCCACUUCUAACACACUACUUUUGGGAUGAUCUCUUCACUUCAUGAAAAUAUUUUUCCCUGUGGGAAACAGAAAAUAGUCAUGAGGUGUGUUCCAGAACAUCAGAUAAUUGGGAGGUCAGUGUAUGAUAAGAUGUAAAAGAAGAAACAGUAAGCAAAUUGUCACUUAUUUGUACAAUAUUUGGGAUUCUAGAAUAAGAAAACUGGAAUGAAAAUUAUCCAUACAGUAUUAUGAAUACUGCCUUACUCUCCAUACCUUAUCAGUAAAACUGUAGCUAACAUGAAUAAAAGAAACUAAUACUGCAUGUUCUAUAUUUGUUUUAAAGAUAUAAUUGCUACAUUCCAUAUAAUUAAUGCAGUCAGUUGCAUUCUUGUAAUUGUUGCAUUGUUAACCAUAAGUGUUAUCCAUUGUAAGUUGUCGAUCUGUUAAUAACAGUAUCAACAAAUAACACAGUAAUUGGCUUGAAUGUAUUGUACAGUAAUGAUUCAGUGUUGCCUUUACAAGUUACAGUACCAAUAUAUAGGAAUAAAAAUUAUUAUGUGCUGAAUUUGAUAAUUUACACCAUGAAACAGUAAACAUAUGAGCACAAGUCUCAAAUAAGUGUUUUACUAAGGUAGUUUUAUUUAUUGUAUAAUAGUGUAAUAUAUACUUUGUCAACUGUGAUUUUAUUGUUUUGUUUGAAAUUGGCUGAUUGUGACAUGUAAGUGCACUGCACAGGUAACUAUGUAGGUACCUGAUGCAGUACAAAGUUACUUUGUGAUUUGAAUUAUGUUCCACAUAUCGCACAUUCCUUGAUUAAAUGUAAUGAUUUAUUUAUUGUGUUAUCACCUCUAAGAUAGUAUCAGGCUGGCCAAGUAACAGAAAUAAACUUUUAAUAGUUUGGGACAGUGGAUUUGGACACAUGAAAAUUAAGGAAACUGAAAGCGAGGGAAAUCAGGAUUUGUACUCUACUUGUAGAUAUAUCUGAAUUAUUAUAGUUGUUUGAUUAGGUCAAACUAGUCAGUGGGCUGUUCACUCA